GCGCACUGCUCAGUAACACGUAGCUAACCUAACCUCAAGACGGAAAUAACCCCGGGAAACUGGGGUCAAUGUCCGAUAGAUGUGAAUUCCUGGAAUGGUGUCACAUCCAAACGUCAACACACCAUGUUGUGCGAACGCUUGAGGAUGGGGCUGCGGCCGAUCAGGCUGUUGGUGGGGUAAUGGCCCACCAAACCUUUGACCGGUAUGGGCCAUGAGAGUGGUAGCCCAGAGAUGGACACUGAGACAAGGGUCCAGGCCCUACGGGGCGCAGCCGGUACGAAACCUCCACAAUGCACGCAAGUGCGAUGGGGUUAUCUCGAGUGCUAUCUGAAAAAGGUAGCUUUUCCAUGGUCUAAACAGCCGUGGGAAUAAGGGGGGGGCAAGACUGGUGUCAGCCGCCGCGGUAACACCAGCCCCCCGAGUGGUAGGGAUGUUUAUUUGGCCUAAAGCGUCCGUAGCCGGCUAAGUAAAUUUCUCGUUAAAUCCAACGUCCUAAGCGUUGGGCUGCGAGAAAGACUGCUUAGCUAGAGGGUGGGAGAGGUCAGCGGUAUUCCUGGGGUAGGGGCGAAAUCCAUUGAACCCAGGAGGACCACCAGUGGCGAAGGCUGCUGACUAGAACACGCCUGACGGUGAGGGACGAAAGCUGGGGUAGCGAAUCGGAUUAGAUACCCGAGUAGUCCCAGCCGUAAACGAUGCAGACUAGGUGUUGGGUUGGCCACGCGCCGACUCAGUGCCACAGGGAAGCCAUUAAGUCUGCCGCCUGGGAAGUACGGCCGCAAGGCUGAAACUUAAAGGAAUUGGCGGGGGAGCACCACCAGGCGUGAAGCCUGCGGUUUAAUUGGAGUCAACGCCGGGAACCUUACCGGGAGCGACAGCAGAGUGAAGGCCAGGCUAAAGGUCUUGCCAGACGAGCUGAGAGGAGGUGCAUGGCCGUCGCCAGUUCGUGCCGUGAGGUGUCCUCUUAAGUGAGGUAACGAACGAGACCCGCGCCGCAUGUUGCUAACAAGUCCUAAAGGGAUGUUGAGCACUCUUGCGGGACCGCAGCCGACAAGGCUGAGGAAGGUGCGGGCAACGGCAGGUCAGUAUGCCCCAAUCUCCCGGGCCACACGCGGGCUGCAAUGGUAGAGACAGAGGGCUGCAACCCCGAAAGGGGAAGCCAAUCCCUAAACUCUACCUCAGUUGGGAUUGAGGGCUGCAACCC
rnacentral:rRNA from 1 species